CACAGCAGCAGCAGCAGCAGACCAGUCGGGUGUUGUGUUUGUGGUAAUUCUCUGCCAGCCCUGAGCUGACAAAGGAGACCUCGGAGCAGAGAUGUCGGGGGAGGGAUGGCAGAGGACAGCCCUGAAGCACCAAUUCCCUACUGAACAAGGAAGGAGCAUGUUAACAGUGUGAUGGAGAGAUCCCCAGGACCACAUGUUAGACAAGCACUCUACCACUGAGCUACAGCCACAGUCCAAAAGCUUCAUUCUACAGUUGAGGAAACAAUGAGACAGAAAGAUGUCAACAAUCACUCUCAAGGAAAUCCAGCUAACGUAGCAGACUCUGUCCAUGCAAGGGUGCUAGAAACUGAUGUGGAUAUCUGAAAGACUGACUACCUGUGGAAGAUGUACAAAGAGGUUCAAGAAUGUCUAGAGAGACUUCACCUGAACAAAAGAAAGCAAAUGGGGUGAUUUUGAACAAGGAAAAAAUUUGGCUUGAUGUAUGUGUCCUUUAAAGAAGAUGGUUGGGAUGUGGACUUGGAAUUCAUCGGUUUGUAUGUGAAAGGCAUAUUUGCAUAUGACUUGUUUAUUCACUCUGGGAAUUAACUAACUGUGUUAGAAACAGUCUCUCUAGCCUGCAAGAACCCCAAAUGUCAAAACAUCAUAAAAUAAAAAAAGGCUUAUUCCAA